CGUAGGGUGCGAGCGUUAAUCGGAAUUGCUGGGCGUAAAGCGUGCGCAGGCGGUUUUGUAAGACAGAUGUGAAAUCCCCGGGCUCAACCUGGGACCUGCAUUUGUGACUGCAAGGCUAGAGUACGGUAGAGGGGGAUGGAAUUCCGCGUGUAGCAGUGAAAUGCGUAGAUAUGCGGAGGAACACCGAUGGCGAAGGCGAUCCCCUGGACCUGUACUGACGCUCAUGCACGAAAGCGUGGGGAGCAAACAGGAUUAGAUACCCUGGUAGUCCACGCCCUAAACGAUGUCAACUGGUUGUUGGGUCUUUACUGACUCAGUAACGAAGCUAACGCGUGAAGUUGACCGCCUGGGGAGUACGGCCGCAAGGUUG
rnacentral:rRNA from 1 species